CGUCCACAUCCCGUUGAAUCAUUGGUUCCUGUACGAUCACCGAAGUUAAGCAACGUUGAUCAUGUCUAGUACCUUGAUGGGUGAACGCAUGCUUAUACCAGGUGCUGUAAG